ensembl:lncRNA
CAGGGAGGCCUUGUGUGCUGCAAUUCAUGGAGUCGCAAAAGUCGGACACGACUGAGCGACUGAACUGAACUGAUGCGUAAGGUAACAUAAAUGUAUGCAGAUUAUGUGAUAUGUGUGUAUACAUACUCAGUCAUUCAGUUGUGUCCAACUCUUUGCAAUCUCAUGGACUGUAGCCUGCCAGGCUCUUCUGUCCAUGGAAUUUUCUAGGCAAGAAUACUGGACCAGGUUGCCAUUUCCUACUCCAAGGGAUCUUCCCAACCUAGGGUUCAAACCCCAAUCUCUUGCAUCUCCUGUUGGAGGCAGGUUCUUUACCACAGCACCACCUGAGAAGCACCAUCAUGUGAUAUAGGAGUAGAAUCCAGAGGUGCUGAUUCAGUGUCAUGUCCAAGUACAUUUCCUCAGGAAGCUGAUGAGGUUAAACCGCAGAAUGACUGUAGGAAAUGUUAGAAAGCUGGAUCUGGUCUGGGCAAAUCUGUGGCCAGAAACCCAUCUCCUUCUGCUGAAGUUAAGUGUCAUGUAUGAGGAUCAUUCCUUGGCUAAAAUGUUAUUGAGAUGUUUCACAGAUCUUCCUUGCCAGAAAGAAACAAGAAAAUACAGCAAACAUGCAGAGAAGCAGCACCAAGACCAUGCGGCUCCUUGAGAAAUUGAGUCCUGUGCUUCCAGAUUUUCUGGUCUUUAUCUGCAGGACUGCCAUUUGUGCAAGCAAGAGGGACUCCUGCCAUGAACUCUUUAAAGCACCUGGGCUCCACAGGUCACAAACUCAUGAGAAACAUCAAUGUGCUAAAGAACUCAAGGGCACCUUUGUCAUUUGGCAGCCAGCACUAAACACUGGCACAGCAGGACCCCACAUUUUAAACAUCCAUUCUUGUGACUAACACAGUUCAGUCCUAAGGGAAAUGUUUCUCCACAUCAUAUGCCUUAUGUCCUUGAAACCAGAAACAGCUUGCCCACUGGGGCUGUGCCCCUUUGAUGGCAGAAAUUGGUGGUGUUUAGAGUGCAGGGCAGGCUUGGGCAAGUGGAGCCCUUGGGGAAGUGAAAAGACUAACUUGUCAAAUGCUUCUCUCAACCACAUGAGUACAAUUGGUUUUUGCAGGAUAAAAUGUACUUUAGGUUAGUGCAGGAUGUCUACUGGAUUUUUUUUCUCUUUGAAUUCUCCACUUUGUGACUCCAGAGGAAUUCACACAUGGUAUAUUAUUUAGAAUAGUG